GGUUAAGCGACUAAGCGUACACGGUGGAUGCCCUGGCAGUCAGAGGCGAUGAAGGGCGUGCUAAUCUGCGAUAAGCGCCGGUAAGGUGAUAUGAACCGUUAUAACCGGCGAUACCCGAAUGGGGAAACCCAGUGUGAUUCGUCACACUAUCAUUAACUGAAUCCAUAGGUUAAUGAGGCGAACCGGGGGAACUGAAACAUCUAAGUACCCCGAGGAAAAGAAAUCAACCGAGAUUCCCCCAGUAGCGGCGAGCGAACGGGGAGGAGCCCAGAGCCUGAAUCAGCAUGUGUGUUAGUGGAAGCGUCUGGAAAGGCGCGCGAUACAGGGUGACAGCCCCGUACACAAAAGCGCAUGUGCUGUGAGCUCGAUGAGUAGGGCGGGACACGUGGUAUCCUGUCUGAAUAUGGGGGGACCAUCCUCCAAGGCUAAAUACUCCUGACUGACCGAUAGUGAACCAGUACCGUGAGGGAAAGGCGAAAAGAACCCCGGCGAGGGGAGUGAAAAAGAACCUGAAACCGUGUACGUACAAGCAGUGGGAGCACCCUUUGGGGUGUGACUGCGUACCUUUUGUAUAAUGGGUCAGCGACUUAUAUUCUGUAGCAAGGUUAACCGUAUAGGGGAGCCGUAGGGAAACCGAGUCUUAACCGGGCGUUAAGUUGCAGGGUAUAGACCCGAAACCCGGUGAUCUAGCCAUGGGCAGGUUGAAGGUUGGGUAACACUAACUGGAGGACCGAACCGACUAAUGUUGAAAAAUUAGCGGAUGACCUGUGGCUGGGGGUGAAAGGCCAAUCAAACCGGGAGAUAGCUGGUUCUCCCCGAAAGCUAUUUAGGUAGCGCCUCGUGAAUUCAUCUCCGGGGGUAGAGCACUGUUUCGGCUAGGGGGCCAUCCCGGCUUACCAACCCGAUGCAAACUGCGAAUACCGGAGAAUGUUAUCACGGGAGACACACGGCGGGUGCUAACGUCCGUCGUGAAGAGGGAAACAACCCAGACCGCCAGCUAAGGUCCCAAAGUCAUGGUUAAGUGGGAAACGAUGUGGGAAGGCCCAGACAGCCAGGAUGUUGGCUUAGAAGCAGCCAUCAUUUAAAGAAAGCGUAAUAGCUCACUGGUCGAGUCGGCCUGCGCGGAAGAUGUAACGGGGCUAAACCAUGCACCGAAGCUGCGGCAGCGACGCUGAUGCGUUGUUGGGUAGGGGAGCGUUCUGUAAGCCUGCGAAGGUGGCCUGUGAGGGUUGCUGGAGGUAUCAGAAGUGCGAAUGCUGACAUAAGUAACGAUAAAGCGGGUGAAAAGCCCGCUCGCCGGAAGACCAAGGGUUCCUGUCCAACGUUAAUCGGGGCAGGGUGAGUCGACCCCUAAGGCGAGGCCGAAAGGCGUAGUCGAUGGGAAACGGGUUAAUAUUCCCGUACUUGGUGUUACUGCGAAGGGGGGACGGAGAAGGCUAUGUUGGCCGGGCGACGGUUGUCCCGGUUUAAGCGUGUAGGUGUGUGUUCCAGGUAAAUCCGGUUCACUUUAACACUGAGGCGUGACGACGAGGCACUACGGUGCUGAAGCAACAAAUGCCCUGCUUCCAGGAAAAGCCUCUAAGCAUCAGGUAACAUCAAAUCGUACCCCAAACCGACACAGGUGGUCAGGUAGAGAAUACCAAGGCGCUUGAGAGAACUCGGGUGAAGGAACUAGGCAAAAUGGUGCCGUAACUUCGGGAGAAGGCACGCUGACACGUAGGUGAAGUGAUUUACUCAUGGAGCUGAAGUCAGUCGAAGAUACCAGCUGGCUGCAACUGUUUAUUAAAAACACAGCACUGUGCAAACACGAAAGUGGACGUAUACGGUGUGACGCCUGCCCGGUGCCGGAAGGUUAAUUGAUGGGGUCAGCGCAAGCGAAGCUCCUGAUCGAAGCCCCGGUAAACGGCGGCCGUAACUAUAACGGUCCUAAGGUAGCGAAAUUCCUUGUCGGGUAAGUUCCGACCUGCACGAAUGGCGUAAUGAUGGCCAGGCUGUCUCCACCCGAGACUCAGUGAAAUUGAACUCGCUGUGAAGAUGCAGUGUACCCGCGGCAAGACGGAAAGACCCCGUGAACCUUUACUAUAGCUUGACACUGAACAUUGAGCCUUGAUGUGUAGGAUAGGUGGGAGGCUUUGAAGUGUGGACGCCAGUCUGCAUGGAGCCGACCUUGAAAUACCACCCUUUAAUGUUUGAUGUUCUAACGUGGACCCGUGAUCCGGGUUGCGGACAGUGUCUGGUGGGUAGUUUGACUGGGGCGGUCUCCUCCUAAAGAGUAACGGAGGAGCACGAAGGUUGGCUAAUCCUGGUCGGACAUCAGGAGGUUAGUGCAAUGGCAUAAGCCAGCUUGACUGCGAGCGUGACGGCGCGAGCAGGUGCGAAAGCAGGUCAUAGUGAUCCGGUGGUUCUGAAUGGAAGGGCCAUCGCUCAACGGAUAAAAGGUACUCCGGGGAUAACAGGCUGAUACCGCCCAAGAGUUCAUAUCGACGGCGGUGUUUGGCACCUCGAUGUCGGCUCAUCACAUCCUGGGGCUGAAGUAGGUCCCAAGGGUAUGGCUGUUCGCCAUUUAAAGUGGUACGCGAGCUGGGUUUAGAACGUCGUGAGACAGUUCGGUCCCUAUCUGCCGUGGGCGCUGGAGAACUGAGGGGGGCUGCUCCUAGUACGAGAGGACCGGAGUGGACGCAUCACUGGUGUUCGGGUUGUCAUGCCAAUGGCACUGCCCGGUAGCUAAAUGCGGAAGAGAUAAGUGCUGAAAGCAUCUAAGCACGAAACUUGCCCCGAGAUGAGUUCUCCCUGAGACUUAGAGUCUCCUGAAGGAACGUUGAAGACGACGACGUUGAUAGGCCGGGUGUGUAAGCGCAGCGAUGCGUUGAGCUAACCGGUACUAAUGAACCGUGAGGCUUAACCUU
rnacentral:rRNA from 2 species